GACGAACGCUGGCGGCGUGCUUAACACAUGCAAGUCGAACGGAAAGGCCUCUUUCGGGGGGUGCUCGAGUGGCGAACGGGUGAGUAACACGUGAGUAACCUGCCCUUGACUUUGGGAUAACUUCAGGAAACUGGGGCUAAUACCGGAUAGGAGCUCCUGCUGCAUGGUGGGGGUUGGAAAGUUUCGGCGGUUGGGGAUGGACUCGCGGCUUAUCAGCUUGUUGGUGGGGUAGUGGCUUACCAAGGCUUUGACGGGUAGCCGGCCUGUGAGGGUGACCGGCCACAUUGGGACUGAGAGACGGCACAGACUCCUACGGGAGGCAGCAGGGGGGAAGAUUGCACAAGGGGUGGAAGCCUGAUGCAGCAACGCCGUGUGCGGGAUGACGGCCUUCGGGUUGUAAACCGCUUUCGCUCAUGACGAAGCUUUGUGUGACGGUAGUGGGUAAAGAAGCACCGGCUAACUACGUG
rnacentral:rRNA from 1 species